GAACGCUGGCGGCGUGCUUAACACAUGCAAGUCGAGCGGAAAGGCCCUUCGGGGUACUCGAGCGGCGAACGGGUGAGUAACACGUGAGUAACCUGCCCUAGGCUUUGGGAUAACCCUCGGAAACGGGGGCUAAUACCGGAUAUUCAUGCUGUGUGGCAUCACAUGGUGUGGAAAGUUUUUCGGCUUGGGAUGGGCUCGCGGCCUAUCAGCUUGUUGGUGGGGUGAUGGCCUACCAAGGCGACGACGGGUAGCCGGCCUGAGAGGGCGACCGGCCACACUGGGACUGAGACACGGCCCAGACUCCUACGGGAGGCAGCAGUGGGGAAUAUUGCACAAUGGGCGGAAGCCUGAUGCAGCGACGCCGCGUGAGGGAUGAAGGCCUUCGGGUUGUAAACCUCUUUCGACAGGGACGAAGCGUGAGUGACGGUACCUGGAGAAGAAGCGCCGGCCAACUACGUGCCAGCAGCCGCGGUAAGACGUAGGGCGCGAGCGUUGUCCGGAUUUAUUGGGCGUAAAGAGCUCGUAGGCGG
rnacentral:rRNA from 1 species